AGCGGACGCUGGCGGCAGGCUUAACACAUGCAAGUCGAGCGCCCCGCAAGGGGAGCGGCAGACGGGUGAGUAACACGUCGGAACGUGCCUUUUGGUUCGGAACAACCCAGGGAAACUUGGGCUAAUACCGGAUAAGCCCUUACGGGGAAGGAUUUAUCGCCAAAAGAUCGGCCCGCGUCUGAUUAGCAAGUUGGGGGGGUAAUGGUCCACCAAGGCUACGAUCAGUAGCUGGUCUGAGAGGAUGAACAGCCACAUUGGGACUGAGACACGGCCCGAACUCCUCCGUGAGGCAGCAGUGGGUAAUAUUGGAAAAUGGGGUCAACCCUGAUCCAGCCAUGCCGCGUGAGUGAUGAAGGCCUUAGGGUUGUAAAGCUCUUUUGGCAGGGAAGAUAGUGACGGUACCUGCAGAAAAAGCCCCGGCUAACUUCGUGCCAGCCGCCGCUGUAAUAC
rnacentral:rRNA from 1 species